rnacentral:rRNA from 1 species
UAUGGGGGGGGCGAGCGUUGUUCGGAAUCACUGGGCGUAAAGGGCGCGUAGGCGGCCCGCCCAAGUCUGCGGUGAAAACCCCCGGCUUAACCGGGGGCCGGCCGUGGAAACUGUCGGGCUAGAGGCCGGGAGAGGGCAGCGGAAUUCCCGGUGUAGCGGUGAAAUGCGUAGAGAUCGGGAGGAACACCGGCGGCGAAGGCGGCUGCCUGGACCGGCCCUGACGCUGAGGCGCGAAAGCUAGGGGAGCAAACAGG